rnacentral:lncRNA from 1 species
GUAGUUUCCAGCCCACCUCCGAAAGCCAAUCCUUUCCUCCAUUUCUUCUCCAAGGUAACAACUUUUAAACAUUCACGUGACGGACCACCUUCCCUCAGCCAAACAACUUCCCUGAAAGGCGCCCGAAGGAGCCUUCCCAUCCACCGCGGGUGCCCAGGAAAGGCCUGUGGGGCUCUCCUCCCCGCGCUCCACACGCCCUCGCAUCCCACCGAGGGGCCAGCUUCUGCCUGCACGUUGCUGAAACUGGCCUGGAGGUUCUGACAAGAAUUAGAGCGGCGGCCGUUGCCCCGGGGAUGACCUGGAAGCGAAAGAGACCGGCACGAAUUCUAGAGUUUCGGGGUUUCCGCGGGUUGAGAUUGUACGGGAAACAAUGCAUUAACCAAACCUAAAAAUCAAACAAACACGUCUGGUAGAACCUACCAUUAAAAAGCUUCUUUCCUAUA